CCUGUGUUUGGUACUUACCAUGUUUUCCUCCAGCAGAUUCAACAUUUCAGGUUUCGGGUUAACUCCCUGAUGAAUUUUGAUUCAGUUUUCGAUUGUGAAAGUUCAGUAUUUUGACAAAUUGCAUUGACUUCCCAGAUUGCUUUGAGCAGUGUAUUUGUUUGGAAUUAUUCUGAUUCAUGAGCAAGAGUUAAGAAAACGGUCAUGGAAGUAUAGCCAGGGAUGCAGAGUUUCCACGGGUUUAUUUAUUUGUGUUUUAAAGGUAUACAGAAAAUGUGGCAUAUUUACACAAUGGAGUUCUAUUCGGCCAUUAAGAACGAUGAAUUCAUGAAAUUCUUAAGCAACUGGAUGGAACUAGAAAAUAUCAUCCUGAGUAAAGUAACCAAUCACAAAAGAACACACAUGGUCUGCACUCACUGGAUACCCAAAACAUAAUCCACCCAUCAAAUGAGGUACAAGAAGAACGGAGGAGUGACCCCUUGUUCUGGAAAGAUUCAGUGAAGCAGUAUAGGGCAAAACCAGAACAGGGA